rnacentral:rRNA from 1 species
UACAGAGGGUGCAAACGUUGUUCGGAAUUACUGGGCGUAAAGCGAGUGUAGGCGGUUUGGAUAGUCGGAUGUGAAAGCCCCGGGCUCAACCCGGGAAGUGCAUUCGAUACUCCCAAGCUAGAGUAUCGGAGAGGUUGGUGGAAUUCUCGGUGUAGAGGUGAAAUUCGUAGAUAUCGAGAGGAACACCGGUGGCGAAGGCGGCCAACUGGACGAAUACUGACGCUGAGACUCGAAAGCGUGGGGAUCAAACAGG